AUCUGAACGUGCACAAUUGUCUCUGUCCUUAAUGGUUAACAUAAGUUUAGGUGAAAUUCAAUGUUUACUAAAUAGUGUAUUUUCCAGUUGAGUAAAAGUUCCCCGUUAUGUAAACAUGUCAAGCACCAUAACCAAUACAGCUUACAGGUCUAAAAUUUCUCUUUUGAGAUUCUGAACUUUUUUAAAUAUAGGCACCAUAUCUCCUUUUCUCCAGUCCUCU